rnacentral:rRNA from 1 species
UACAGAGGGUGCGAGCGUUGUUCGGAAUUAUUGGGCGUAAAGGGCGCGUAGGCGGUGCGGUAAGUCACCUGUGAAAUCUCCUGGCUCAACUGGGAGCUUGCAGGCGAAACUGCCGUGCUGGAGUGUGGGAGAGGUGCGUGGAAUUCCUGGUGUAGCGGUGAAAUGCGUAGAUAUCGUAAGGAAGACCAGUGGCGAAGGCGGGUCUCUGGACAGUUCCUGACGCUGAGGCACGAAGGUCAGGGGAGCAAACGGG